UUAUUUUUAGCAGUAGUAGUAUUUACAUUUAGGAAUCAUAGGUAAAAUAACACACAUUCUCCUUUUUCUGUUUCAUUCUCAAACUGGGAUUGUGAGUCCUGAUAAUUUUUUUGUCCAUCAAAUAUCUACUAAUUAUUACAUGUAAUAAUUGUAAGGUGUAAAUAAAUAUUUGGCUUAGACUUAAAUAACAGAAGCGUCGCCAUAGUUCAACAGACAAGUACGCUGAUUUUCUGUCACAUGUAUCUUUCUAGGAAUUAGAAUUCCAUGUGUUCUGUGUGUAAAUGCAUGGUUCAACAGUCCACUUAGCCAAUUUGACGGUUUGUUGGCAGAAACAGACCUUGCUGGGUUAGAAGGGUCAAGGCCUGUGGGCUUAAGCUGGAGUUCAGGUUAUUGUUUAGGGGAAUGAGUUUUGUUGUCAUGCCUAAGGUGAGGGUGAGGGAGGAAACACUGUGAAGUCCAUCCAUGCCAAAGCUAAGGGGUGUGUGUGGAUGUGCGUGAGAGGUGGCCUUGACCGGAGUCCAUGGACAGUGGCACCUGAAGGACUGCGCUGCGAUAGUGGCGUACAAUGUAGUUACUCAAGAAAAACAACAUAAGGAGAAGAAAUUAACCUUCCACGUAAUGUCUUUACACGUGUGCUGACAAAUACUGCAGCGUGGAGGAUGAAUCAUCCAGCGAAGCAUGAAGCAGUGCAGAACACAGAUGAACUGCAGAUCUACAGUUCAAUGAAGGUUCAACCUCAAGAAAAAAAACAUUUCCUCAGGUUUCCAGGUUUAUUUACGUGUUCAAUAUCACCAGGUAUAUGUUAAGGCUUUUAACUCCAAACUUCAUGUUCAUAAUACUGUCUUUUCAAAAUUUAAACAAAUUAUAAAAAUAAAAAUAGCAUUUUUGGCAGAUAAACCUCUUCUAAUUGGCUUAAUAAUUGUAAUCAACAUACAAAAUAAAAAUGGUUCAUUUCACGUAUAUGCAACCCCCCCUUACAUGUUUACAUUACAUAGAUACUGUUCGGGUCAAUUUGACCCAACAGUAAAACUUAAGGCUAAAAAAUAAAAUAUUACCAGGGUUUUACAAUAUUUAACAGCCAUAUUUAACAAUAAAUAUCUCGCCAGUAUUAACAGAAAGUUUAGCUAACCUGAGUUGGAACGUUUUGCCGUUACUCAGUAUGUGUUUCCUUACGCCAUUCCUCUCGUACUGGUAACGCUAAAUGACCGGUACCAUUAGUGUUUCCUUUUUUAUGGCUAAUUUAAUGUUACUGGCGGUCACUUUAUUUGGAGAGCUCUCACUUUGAAACACUCCUGAGAAACAUAAACGUCGGAGCAUUCAGGACUGUUGCUAUCUUUACAGUAUUUGGCAUGUAAGUUUAGUGAGCAUGAUUUAAUUAUAUUUUAAUUGAAUCAUCAUUGAAUGACAUAUUUUGAACAUAUCUAUUAACCCUAACUAGUAUAAAUGUCAGACUCUUUUAAUGUAUGCCCAGACUGUGCAUUUGUAAUACACAAGUUAUUAAAGGGUUGUAUAUUUUGGGGCAUGGUGGACGUCACUCAUUUGCACAUGCUGGACGCUGUCUGUUGAGGUUCAGGGGGUCCUGGGAUCUCACCUCGGCUUCACAGGUGCUUUGGCAGAACCUGCAGAAUGCUGAAGACGCUUCCUGCACACUGGACUUUAUCCAAAGAUAAUGGUGCUUCUUGGGCAUUAAUCCAAAAAGGCAGCGUGGACCCAUCAAUCAGAAAGUCUGUACCUUCAUCAGAAAACUAAUUGAUUUUUAGUAUUCUAAACUAAAUCAAAUUUGCAAUAUUGCUGUAAAUUUACAUUUAAUUACUGGCUACUAGUUGCAUUACAUUUACAGGAUUGCAUACUGUGACCUCACAGCAAUUACUGUAAAUUUGUACAGCGAUAUGCUGUAACAUCAAAGCAAUAUCAUGAAACCUUUACUGUGAAAUCACAAUUUAUAUAAACAAAACUACAAAAACAUACUGUCAUAUUACAGUAAUAUUUGAUACAUUUACUUUAACAUCACAGUAGCAAAGAGUAAUUUAAUGUCUUACCUUACUGUGAAGUCAGAGCUGUCAAUGUACAAGCAGUAAAAUACUUUGAAAGUCAUACAAUUAGUAGCCAGUAAUUUACUGUAAAUUUACACCGAAAUAUUUAACAGUAAAUGGUUUGUUGAAUGUGUGAGACAUUACAGUCUCACACAUUCAUCUUAUGUUCUCACCCCAUCUAAAAAGUACAAAAAUGAGUUUUUAUGGCAACACCAUUGCCUGUGACAACUUCAAUUCAGGAGGUUUUAAAGAGAAAGCUUAAAAUGGUCACAAUGAUCCAAAAGAACAGGGCUGAACUCCCAGUAGAGCAUUUGGUAGCCAUAAACAAGGUCCACCAGUCUUCCAGGUUUGCCUUCACAGACAGAACAGCCUCAAUGUCUUAUUGCACAAAAAUGCUGAAAGCAUCAAGGGAACAUGAAAAAGAGUAUGAUUCUGGAUCACAAUACCACUAAAGGUGGGGU